rnacentral:rRNA from 1 species
AACAGUUGGAAACGACUGCUAAUACCGCAUAAGACCACGGUGUGGCAUCACACAGAGGUCAAAGGAGAAAUCCGCUGAAGGAUGGGCUCGCGUCCAAUUAGCUAGAUGGUGAGGUAACGGCCCACCAUGGCGACGAUUGGUAGCCGGACUGAGAGGUUGAUCGGCCACCAUUGGGACUGAGACACGGCCCAGACUCCUACGGGAGGCAGCAUG